GAUGAACGCUAGCGGGAGGCCUAAUACAUGCAAGUCGAACGGUAAGGUCCCUUCGGGGAUACACGAGUGGCGGACGGGUGCGUAACGCGUACGAAACAUACCUUCAACAGGGAGAUACCUCCGGGAAACUGGGAAAUAAUACCCCAUAGUAUUGAGAUAUCGCAUGAUAUUUCAAUUAAAGCUUUGGCGGUUGAAGAUUUGUCGUGCGUCUGAUUAGCUAGUUGGUGAGGUAACGGCUCACCAAGGCGACGAUCAGUAGCUGGUCUGAGAGGACGACCAGCCACACUGGAACUGAGACACGGUCCAGACUCCUACGGGAGGCAGCAGUGGGAAUUUUGGACAAUGGGCGCAAGCCUGAUCCAGCAAUGCCGCGUGCAGGAUGAAGGCCUCGGUU
rnacentral:rRNA from 1 species